GCGGGGGCACACGCGUGUGCAGCCUUGCACACACGUUGCACACGUAUGGCCUGUGGUUGUGCACAGGCGUGCAAGUGUUACGGCCGUGCACAGACGUGCGGACGUGUGUUCACGUGUCCUGCAGCUGUGCAUGGAUGUGUGCGCACACACGUGUGCACGUGCACACGCGUGUGCACCCCCACCCUCUCUGCAUGCUCCCCCUCCCCACCCCGUGUCCCCUCCUGUGUCCCCCCCGCGUGUCCCCCGGCUGGUGCACACGCUGGUGCCCCAUGGCUGGGCUGGCACAAGCGUGUGCAAGGCACGUGCACGCCCCGUGUGCUCGUGUGCAGCGCUUGUGAGCGUGCGGGUGUGCACGGGGCUGAGUGUGUUUGCUGGGGGGGGGGGGGUGAGUGUGCACGGGGCUUUAGGUGUGUGGUUGUGCACGGUGCUCUGGUGUCUGCGCGUGCACGGUGGGUGCUGGGUGUGCGCUGGGUGUGCGCUGGGUGUGCAUUGGGUGUACUGGGUGUGUACGGGGUGCGCUGGGUGUGUGCUGGGUGCCCUGAGUGUGCACUGGGUGUGCCCUGGGUGUGCCGAGUGUGCACUGGUUGCAUGUUGGGCGCCCACUGGAUGUACGUUGGGUGCCCUGGGUGCGCGCUGGGUGCCUUGGGUGCCCACUGGGUGUACGUUGCGUGGCCUGAGUGUGCCCUGGGUGUGUGCUGGGUGCCCUGAGUGUGCCCUGAGUGUGCACUGGGUGUGCACUGGGUGUGCCGAGUGUGCACUGGGCGCGCUGAGUGUGCACUGGGUGCGUGUUGGGUGCACACUGGAUGUAUCUUGGGUGCCCUGGGUGUGUACUGUGUGCCCUGGGUGCUCACUGGGUGUAUGUAGGGUGCCCUGAGCGUGCCCUGAGUGUGCACUGGGUGUAUGUUGGGAGCCCUAAGUGUGCACUGAGUGUGCCCUGGCUGUGCCGAGUGUGCACUGGGUGCGUGUUGGGUGCCCUGGGUGCAUGCUGGGUGCCCUGGGUGCCCACUGGGUGUACGUUGGGUGCCCUGAGUGUGCCCUGGGUGUGUGCUGGGUGCCCUGAGUGUGCACUGGGUGUGCACUGGGUGUGCCGAGUGUGCCCUGAGUGUGCUCUGGGUGUGUGCUGGGUGCCCUGAGUGUGCCCUGGCUGUGCACUGGGCGUGCCGAGUGUGCCCUGAGUGUGCUCUGGGUGUGUGCUGGGUGCCCUGAGUGUGCCCUGGCUGUGCACUGGGCGUGCCGAGUGUGCACUGGGUGCGUGUUGGGUGCGCACUGGAUGUACGUUGGGUGCCCCCAGCGUGCCCUGAGUGUGCACUGGGUGUGCACUGGGUGUGCACUGGGUGUGUGCUGGGUGCCCUGAGUGUGCCCUGGGUGUGCCGAGUGUGCACUGGUUGCAUGUUGGGCGCCCACUGGAUGUACGUUGGGUGCCCUGGGUGCGCGCUGGGUGCCCCGGGCGCCCGCCGGGUGUACGUUGGGUGCCCCGAGCGUGCCCUGAGUGUGCCCUGGGUGUGUGCUGGGUGUGUGCUGGGUGCCCUGAGUGUGCCCUGAGUGUGCACUGGGUGUGCACUGGGUGUGCUGAGUGUGCACUGGGUGUGUGUUGGGUGUGCACUGGAUGUACGUUGGGUGCCCUGGGUGUGUACUGUGUGCCCUGGGUGCUCACUGGGUGUAUGUAGGUUGCCCCGAGCAUGCCCCGAGUGUGCACUGGGUGUAUGUUGGGUCCCCUGGGUGUGUGCUGGGUGCCCUGAGUGUGC
ensembl:lncRNA